rnacentral:rRNA from 1 species
UGGGGAAUAUUGCACAAUGGGCGGAAGCCUGAUGCAGCAACGCCGCGUGCGGGAUGACGGCCUUCGGGUUGUAAACCGCCUUCGCCUGUGACGAAGCGUGAGUGACGGUAAUGGGUAAAGAAGCACCGGCUAACUACGUGCCAGCAGCCGCGGUGAUACGUAGGGUGCGAGCGUUGUCCGGAUUUAUUGGGCGUAAAGGGCUCGUAGGUGGUUGAUCGCGUCGGAAGUGUAAUCUUGGGGCUUAACCCUGAGCGUGCUUUCGAUACGGGUUGACUUGAGGAAGGUAGGGGAGAAUGGAAUUCCUAGUGGAGCGGUGGAAUGCGCAGAUAUCAGGAGGAACACCAGUGGCGAAGGCGGUUCUCUGGGCCUUUCCUGACGCUGAGGAGCGAAAGCGUGGGGAGCGAACAGGCUUAGAUACCCUGGUAGUCCACGCUGUAAAGCGGUGGGUACUAGGUGUGGGGGUCCAUUUCCACGGGUUCCGUGCCGUAGCUAACGCUUUAAGUACCCCGCCUGGGGAGUACGCCGCAAGG